AACACAACUCGAGACUUUCGAAACCUCCCACUCAGUAUCGGAUGAAUAACACAGUUUGAUGUUUUGCUUGUUCUGCUGACGGACACGUUAAAGACGUCUGCGCUCCCGUUUCUGUGCAUGUCCAGCAUGAGACAACUGGAAUUCAACCACAUUGAACACCGACUUCAGUUUAUUAGGGAUGGAUGUGCCCUGAAGGACAGCGCUGUGAUGACUAUGUUCUGUCUCUUAUGGCAAAGAAGACAAAUAAAUCACUGGGGUGUUAUCCAAAGUGUAUCAAAUCAGAAAACAAAAGAUAAACAUUUUUCUAAUAAGUGUUUAUAUUUUUAACCAACCAUAAUGAUUACAGAAAUUAACUCUAUUAUCCAUGACACUUAGCAAUGAACCAACCCUAAACAGUUGCAAACCAUCUUUAGUCAAGGGAGGAAAACAUGUAGCUGGUGCAGGUUGUCCUCGUGUUGUCCAGCCUGAAGAUGCAGAUGUCCACCAUGUUGCUGUUGAGGACAUCAUGUGCUGCAGUUCAUCAUGUAUGAUGAGAAGAAAGGCACUGUUAAAGAAUGUUUUGUGUUGUGUAUAAAGCACAACAGAUUUCAGAUAGAACUGUUGUACUGUGGUCUUGGUUUAUAUCCUCAUGGUGAAAUGUACAUAUUUUAAGUCCCUUCUGAUAAAAGUGCUGAAAGAAAUACAACAUUGUACAAAUACAUAAAAUGUCUUUCUACCUCAUCAGUACUAUUCAAGGUGAUAAUCUCCCACAGACCUAUUGAUAACAGUCCAAAUCACGUCUUUCCACUUCUCUCAGUGUGAAAACAUAAUUCUAUAAUUAAUUUGAGAACUGUUUACAACACUGAUGUGUGGAGAUUAAAAUCAUACCUAAACUGUCUAAUUCACUGUAAAACUCCAUGACAUUCGCAGGCCAUCUGUAGUUAAGGGAGCAACGCAUGGAGUGAUGUGUAGAUUACUAGUUUGAUGAUGCAUGAGGAGAGGCGGUGGUCGAGUGGCAGAAACUUGGACUAUGGGCAGAGAAGGUCUCUGGUUCGUCUUUGGUUCGACUCCAUGGAGAGACAACAAAAGUCGAACCUGGAUUGAUCUGUCCAAAAAUCCAAGAGUCUCCCUACCCUCUCUAGUGCCCAUGAGCAAGGCACCUCACUCCCCCAACAUCUGCUCCCCCGAGCGCCGUACAUGGUCGCUCACUGCUCUGUGUGUCCUGCACCAGAUGGGUAAAAAGCAGCGAUUAAAUUUCCCUACCUGCAUGAGUGUGCCUUUGCAUGUCUGUGCAUGUGUUUGGGAUGAAUAAAUGGAUUUUAAUCUUAAUCUUUUAAUCUUAAUCAGUUGUCUUCCAGUUGACCAGCAUGAAGCUGCAGAUCUCCACCAUGUUGCUGCUGGGGACAUCAGGAGCUGCAUUAAUGAGGAGCAGAAGCGUACUAUUAUGAAUGUUUUGUGUUGUUUAUGAAGCACUACUUAUUUCAGCUAGAACCGAUGUACUAGGGUCUGGGUUUGUAUCCUAAUGGUUAAAUGCACAUACUUUAAAUCGCUUUUGAUAAAACGUGACAAAGAAAUACAACAUUGUACACAUAGAUAAAAUGUCUUUCUACCUCAUCUGUAAUAUUCAAGGUGAUGAUCUCCCACAGAGCUGUUGAUAACAGUCCACAUCAAGUCUCUCCACUUCCCUCAGUGUGAAAACAUAAUUAUAUAAUUAAUUGGAGAAGUGUUUACAACACUGAUGUGUGGACAUUAUAAUGUUAUCACUACUGUCUAAUUCACUCUACAACUCCAUGACAGACUAAAUAAACGAUGUGAAAAUAGUAAUGGCGGAUAUACCAUCCUGUAUCAGAAUAUUGGUGAAACAGUUACUAUCACAUGAAACGUACACGUGUAGCGUAUUGAUAGUAACUCAUUAAAAAAAAUAAUGU